CAGGCUCUGCCGUGGGGGCGAGAUACUCUCGGUAGCUUGCCGGGCUCUCCGAGACGGACAGAGGAAGCUCUAACCACAUAAAUAUUCAAAGUCUAAAACCUUGGGCUCAUCAGACUGAGUAGAAAUUUAAUUCUUCCAAGCAAGUAUUGCUGUUCCUUGUCAUGGCCGCCCACGCGCUCGCUGAGUGGACACGUGGUCAGCCCAGGAAGAGGAUGUUACUGAACUGCGUGGCGCACAGCUUCUUGACCUCCUCACUUACUUCAAUCAGGUUUGCAUUAUUUUCCCCCAACAACCCAAUAACCACUCAUUGCCUUCAAGAUGAUUUCUAAAGAAAUAAAACCAAAGAAUUAGAGGCAGGAUGUCUAGCAUUAGAGCAUACACUCAAACGUUUACAUUCUUUUUCAAGCAGGCAUUAUUAGUAGGUAUUUGAUGCUCUGUGGGCAAAUACCUCUUGACUUGUAUCCUUUUACCAUCUUUUUAGUAUAUUUCUCUGAUAGUUUUCACUUCACCUCCAAAGAGCUCCUCAGCCCUUUCCCUCCUGUAUCCAGGGACUUUCUUCACAGCUACUCAGACGUUUUUUCCCUUCGGCCAUGGACUUUCUAUCUCUGUGAUGUUUUCCUACCUCAUUCUUUUCCAAAACUCAAAUGUCAGGUGAACAAGGGUCACAGUGUGACCUCCAGGUUCAGAGUCUCCACCACAGGAGACCCUCAUCUGGCUUAGGACAGGUUUAACCUUCCCAGCUGGCUCACAGCCUUUGCUGGUCAGUUCCAGCCUCACCAGAGCUUCCAUCUUCAAUUUCGGAGAGUCUCAGCUCUGCUUUGCUUCCAGGCGGGUUUUCAGUACCAGAUCCCGGGCCCCGAGACUCUUGGACAGGCUCAAGCACAAGGACACCUUCGUCUGCCUCUAGAACAGGCUUCCGGACAAACAACCCUACUUUCCUGGCUUGCAGGUCUCCAGGCUGUUCCGUGUCACAGGAGGAAGCUGAGCGUACCCAAGGUCCUUCCACGGAACUCAGCCUUCAGUGGGGGAAUGGCAGAGCCAUCCCUGCGUCCUGGACUGAUGCUCACGACUCUUCACAGGGUCUUGAAAGAAGCCAUCUUCGGCCAAGUUCCUUCCUGCUGAACCCUGGAAGCACUCCCCCCACCCCCCACCUGCCCACAGUGCUGCCAUUAUGCCUCUCCACCAGACUCUACAGCCUCCUGCUGAGUUUUGCAGAGACGCCGAACUGCUGACAAUUUCAGAUUUUCGUUCCCAGACUGUGAUCCCGGGAAUGGCUGCCUGUUUCUGAACCCUUCCCAACCCUCCUGAGUUCAGCCUGUCAAAACUCUCUCCUUGUACCUGGUCCCAGUCUCCAUGUGACUGGUCACCUCUUGAGCAGAAGUGCAUUAAAGUGAUAUGCGACCACAUCAGAGUCACCUAAACAACUGAUUCUGGGAGACUCAAAUGUGAGCUUGUCUACUCCAUCAACCACGAGGAACCCAGAGACGUGAGCGCUGAACGACUCAAUGGUGUACUUAAAAACAUACACCCCAAGCCGAUGGAGACGGGGUGCCAAGAGGAGCAAGCAGGGGAGCAGAGCCUGCCACGGCCUGUCUGUCCUCUGUCUCUGUCAGUCACCUGCUACUAUCUGCCAUCUUCACCCCAGCCCCGGAAGCCUAUAGACGUCAUUAAUACCAGCUCAGACCUGAAGAAGCUCUUCGCUUGCGUCAGACACCUUCCUGGGUGAGCUGGGAGACGGGUUUCCCACUGCGGGUCCAAGGGGAUAUCAGCAGAAUGUAAAGGGUUACUGAGAUUUAGCACGUACAUCAAAGAAGAAACCUGGGUGCUUCCCGAGGACUUGAGGUGCUUUCUUUUGAUUUUCUUAAACUAGAAAAUCAUAAUUAUACUGAUUAACAUGUUUCUAAGAAGUAAUGUUCUAGCUCAAAAUAGAGAGCAUCAGUCCCUCCUCGAAAUAAAUAUAAGAAAUUGCUUUUCUCCUUUUAGAAUGUUAUGACUUUUGAUCAUACCAGAUUUUUAAAAAUAAUCCUUCCUCUCCCCUUUGGUUUGGACCACAUCAUAUGAUCUUUUUUAUAUGUAGAAUCUGACCAAGACUGACUGAAUAUUCUAAAAUACAUCUGCUGACAAGUCUUGCUUUACUCUCUCUAAUGUAAUAUGAUUUGAGCUGAAAUAUCAUUAGAGCAAACCACAAAUUUCCUUGAUCUAUUUCAGAACAUUUUAGAGACAUCUACUGGAAAAGCAAAUUAUUGCAAAUUUUAUAAAACAUAUCAGAAGUAUGUUGCGACUGGCAUUUCUAAACAUGUCUCAAAUUUCAUAUCACAAAUGAGUUACCUUCUAAAAGCAAAAUGCUGUGACCUUAAAAAAUUAGAAUCACCUGUAAAAAUUUAUCUAUUUAUCUAAAAAUUAUCUAUGUAUAUAAAAAUAAAGCUAUUUAUUUGUCAUUGGA